CGCAGCCUCCCCUUCCCCUUUCCCCCUUUUCUCUCCAAAACCCUAGCCGCCUCUGCACGAUCUUCUCUCUCCUCGUCAUCCAUGGCUGUUUAUGGUAAAAUGGCAGGAAAAGGAAGGCUUACUCAGGUCUAGCAUGGCCCAAACGAGCAAAGCAUUGAAUGCUCGCACUCAUUUUCACCUAAUGCUGCCCAAACACGUUAUUAUCUCUCGAUUUUUUUCGCAUUUUUGUAGAUUCGACGGUAAGAACUCUGAAAUAUCUUAAUGAGUUUUGUUUGCAUCCCAUUUGAACUUUGGUUUUUCAUUGGCUUAUGAUUGUUCGCAUGGAUCGACCUUUUAAAGGUCAGAUACGACCUUCCCUUUACUCUUUAUAGUGAUAGCUGGCCAUUAGAUUGGCUUUGAGAAGAAAAUUUUUGAAAUUUUUUGAAAGUCCCACAUCAGUUGAAAUUUGGGUUUUUACAUCAAUUUUGGGGUUAUAAAUAGAACUCCUAAUUCUCAGAAAUAGCAAAGGUUGAACAUCUUAACGCCUAAUACAUAGGGUUUCUAGCUUCAUUUUGCUUAAAACCUUUAAUUUUCGGUGAAGUUUAAAUUUUAAAAAAUUAUUUACUUGUUUCUUGGUAUGGUCGGGUGAGUUUGAGCUUUUGGGGAUCAAUUUGAGAUUCCAAGUCUAAUUCUCGAUCAAAGGCUGCACUCUUAGGAGUUCGUGUUUGGAAAGGGAAGCAAAUAUUAUUCAAGGCCCAGCUAUGGGUGAAAAUAGCACUAAUGAGGCGGGUAGCCCAUUAGUAAAAUAAUCCUUCUCCUCACCUUUAUCUAAUUAAUUUGUAUGAUUUGUAAAAAUGUGAACCUUAUUAUUAUGGAAACCCCGAUGGAUAUAGAACUAGGAUUAUCACUUA